UGUUUUAUGAUGAAUAAACAGGUGUGGUUUACUUCGUAGGCCGUGUACUUGUGUUAUUUCAUUAUCUGGGUCACAUGACAGUGAUAUAACCAAAAGAUGUAUGCUGGGAUUCAUUCAAAACUUUAAUUUGUU